rnacentral:rRNA from 1 species
AUUGAACGCUGGCGGCAUGCUUUACACAUGCAAGUCGAGCGGCAGCGCGGGGCAACCUGGCGGCGAGCGGCGAACGGGUGAGUAAUAGAUAGGAACGUAUCCGGGAGUGGGGGAUAACUAGCCGAAAGGUUAGCUAAUACCGCAUAUUCUCUGUGGAGGAAAGCGGGGGACUCCUAAACCGGGCACAUCUGGGUGGACCAGGUGUAUCCGGUUUAGGGGCCUCGCGCUCGCGGAGCGGCCUAUCUCCGAUUAGCUAGUUGGUGAGGUAAAGGCUCACCAAGGCGACGAUCGGUAGCUGGUCUGAGAGGAUGAUCAGCCACACUGGGACUGAGACACGGCCCAGACUCCUACGGGAGGCAGCAGUGGGGAAUUUUGGACAAUGGGGGCAACCCUGAUCCAGCCAUGCCGCGUGCGGGAAGAAGGCCUUCGGGUUGUAAACCGCUUUUAUUUGGGAAGAAGGAGUAGGGGCUAAUACCCUCUAUGACGGACGGUACCGGAUGAAUAAGCACCGGCUAACUACGUG